AGUUAUGUCAUGUUAUCGAUAUGUGAAUACAUAGCAUAUCAGAAGGCACACCCGGAGAACUGAAACAUCUUAGUACCCGGAGGAAGAGAAAGAAAAUUCGAUUCCCUUAGUAGCGGCGAGCGAAACGGGAAGAGCCCAAACCAACAAGCUUGCUUAUUGGGGUUGUAGGACACUCUAUACGGAGUUACAAAGGACGACAUUAGACGAAUCAUCUGGAAAGAUGAAUCAAAGAAGGUAAUAAUCCUGUAGUCGAAAAUGUUGUCUCUCUUGAGUGGAUCCUGAGCACGACGGAGCACGUGAAAUUCCGUCGGAAUCUGGGAGGACCAUCUCCUAAGGCUAAAUACUCUCUAGUGACCGAUAGUGAAUCAGUAC
rnacentral:rRNA from 1 species